AUGGGUCUCAGCUCUCAUCACUUGCAGCCUUGUGGCCGUCACGGAGAGGAAACCUCCAGGAGGAAGGCAACGUUCUGCUGGGAACCAGGGAGAGCUUGUGAGGCCACCAGAGGUUGCCACAGGAGGACAGGAAGGCUGCAGGAAAGCAGUGCUUCGAUAAUUCGAAGAGAGCUGCAUUCACUUAGGAUUUUCCAACAGCAACAAAGCAACAGUCGGGGGAGAGAGAGACGGGACUCAAAGCACUGCUGUGGGUGAACCCAAAGCUCUGAGUGUCCUGCACAGCGAGGAUGGAUGUGGCCCAGCUGUGCCCUCUUUUGCCUGGUUACACGGGUGGGAAGCAGCAGACCCAUCCCUGCCCACGUAUUUCACUGGGGACGUGAGGGCUUCACCCCACACACCCUGCACCAAGCAACACACUGGGGGCAAGGAGCAUUGGGGCACAAGCAUGUACGGGUCUGGUGAGCUGGGAAUUAAUACGAAAACAAGGAAUGAACAUGCAAACAAGAAAGGAGUAUGCAGCCUGUUAAGCAGUGGCCUCUGUCGGGGAAAUGUUUGGGAUAGGAACUGUCCUGCUGGGAGCAGCCUGGGCACCAGCCUCACAAGCAUCCUCUAAGAGAAGAGAGCGAGAGGUUGUCUGUCAGCUCUGCUGAGACCUUCACAUUUUCAUCUUAAUGGGACAUGGUGCUUGACAGAUUGAGCUCCGCUGAGCAGCUCGUUGUAAAUUCAAAUGCAGGCUCUGGGGUUUAUCUGAGCCACUGAGCCUAUUUUCUUCCCUUGUUUGCUGGCGGAGCAGGCUCAGCCCCGCGUGAUGACUGCGUUUUGUCAGCAUCGUUCUCCUGCGCAGCGGGCUCAAAUCCCCCGCGGCCCCGCACCAGCCUGCCGCCCGCCCCGCAGCGCUGCUCCGAGCUGCCAGGCUGAGCAGGGCAGGGCCGGGGGCAGCACAUGCACACAGUGCUGUGCACGUGGACAUUCACGCACACACUCACGCGUGUAACGGGCACUUGGGGUCUGCCAGCGCUGGGAAGAAAGCGAGCAGGCCAAAAGGGGCAGAGGCAGGGACACGCACAGGUGGGCAGCCGCUGGCAGGCAGAGCUGGGGAUGCUUGGGUGUGCAAGCACCUGGAUAUGCAGCAGUGUCUUGCUCGUGCUUGAGACACUGAAAGCUGCCUGGAGAAAUUACUAGAACCUACUGGAAAAUGUGCAGCAGGGGAAGAACCCAGGCAGGAGAUAAGACUGUAGGGAACCUAAUUGGCAUUUCUGCCUGUGCCGUCUCCGAGUCUGUUUGUUCUGAGCCUGCAAAAGGCCCCACAGGUCAUAGAUUCUUUUCUUUCCUUCUCCCAGUCUCAUUAAAACUAGUCCCAGCUUUCUGAGCACAAAAGACACAUCAGUUCUUCCAAAAAUUUGAACGGAAAAAGGCAAUUGUCUUUUACUGGUUGGAAACGCAAUUCUGCCUGUGGUUAGAUUUUUACCAAAUCCAACAGAGAGGGGCACAAUGCUUUUCUUUUAGAUGUGUUCUGCCUUGCAAUAACCAGACCAAAAAUACAAAUUUUACUGCCUUAUUUAUUGGUCCUGAUUUUCAGCAAUCUCUGAGGUAUGAAUUAUGUAGAAGAUGCACAGCAAAUGAGUUGAAGCACAGGCGGAUCCUCACCCAGCCAGAGCAGCCGCAGUGCCUGAGCCUCCAGCCCCCUCCAUGCGGAGCAUCCCCGCAAGCAGCUCCUGGGCCCCUGUUGUCCACGAGCAUCUCACUGGUGACCUGGGAGCUUUCUGAAACCCAAGAAAACUCAGAGGGCAAAGCAGGGGGGGAUAACUUCCAUGAGCCUCUGUGCAGAUGUAGCUGCUAAAAGCCAGAGCUCGCAGAGCUGGGAGUCUUAUCAGUGCUCAGCAGUGGGGAUUGUUCCUGAUGGGCUCGGAUGUGAAGCCAGGUCAGGUAUUCCACUCGUGCCUUAGGAUCAGGAGCUCUGGAUCCUCCCUGGCAUGUGCUGUUUCACUUGGUGCCAUCAGAGCUCCAUGCUCCAAGCAGGUAAAGCUUCCUUCAGCACCCGCACCCUGCUGGCCGUGUCGCGUGCCCAAAGCCAAACAUGACCCCGUGAUAUAGCUCCAAGCACAAAAAUGAGGGCAUGGCUUCUCACCUAAAAAAUAAAUGCUUGUUUGUGACUCGGAGCCUGGAAGCU
ensembl:lncRNA